rnacentral:rRNA from 1 species
UCCGUUAUUGAUUUUAGAUGCUUGCAUUUAAAUGAUUUAACACGAAACGAGUGGCGAACUGGUGAGUAACACGUGGGUAACCUGCCCUUGAAGUAGGGGAUAACACUUGGAAACAGGUGCUAAUACCGUAUAACAACCAAAACCACAUGGUUUUGGUUUAAAAGAUGGCUUCGGCUAUCACUUUAGGAUGGACCCGCGGCGUAUUAGCUUGUUGGUAAGGUAAUGGCCUACCAAGGCAAUGAUACGUAGCCGACCUGAGAGGGUAAUCGGCCACAUUGGGACUGAGACACGGCCCAAACUCCUACGGGAGGCAGCAGUAGGGAAUCUUCCACAAUGGACGAAAGUCUGAUGGAGCAACGCCGCGUGAGUGAUGAAGGGUUUCGGCUCGUAAAACUCUGUUGUUGGAGAAGAACAGGUGUCAGAGUAACUGUUGACAUCUUGACGGUAUCCAACCAGAAAGCCACGGCUAACUACGUGCCAGCAGCCGCGGUAAUACGUAGGUGGCAAGCGUUGUCCGGAUUUAUUGGGCGUAAAGCGAGCGCAGGCGGUUUCUUAGGUCUGAUGUGAAAGCCUUCGGCUUAACCGGAGAAGUGCAUCGGAAACCAGGAGACUUGAGUGCAGAAGAGGACAGUGGAACUCCAUGUGUAGCGGUGAAAUGCGUAGAUAUAUGGAAGAACACCAGUGGCGAAGGCGGCUGUCUGGUCUGUAACUGACGCUGAGGCUCGA